GGGGGAGUGCCGGAACUGGCAGACGGGCUGGACUUAGGAUCCAGUGCAGUAAUGCGUGGGGGUUCGAGUCCCCCCUUCCCCACCA
rnacentral:tRNA from 1 species